rnacentral:rRNA from 1 species
UGGGGAAUUUUGGACAAUGGGCGAAAGCCUGAUCCAGCAAUGCCGCGUGUGUGAAGAAGGCCCUCGGGUUGUAAAGCACUUUUGUCCGGAAAGAAAUCCUUGGCUCUAAUACAGUCGGGGGAUGACGGUACCGGAAGAAUAAGCACCGGCUAACUACGUGCCAGCAGCCGCGGUAAUACGUAGGGUGCAAGCGUUAAUCGGAAUUACUGGGCGUAAAGCGUGCGCAGGCGGUUUGCUAAGACCGAUGUGAAAUCCCCGGGCUCAACCUGGGAACUGCAUUGGUGACUGGCAGGCUAGAGUAUGGCAGAGGGGGGUAGAAUUCCACGUGUAGCAGUGAAAUGCGUAGAGAUGUGGAGGAAUACCGAUGGCGAAGGCAGCCCCCUGGGCAAUACUGACGCUCAUGCACGAAAGCGUGGGGAGCAAACAGGAUUAGAUACCCUGGUAGUCCACGCCCUAAACGAUGUCAACUAGUUGUUGGGGAUUCAUUUCCUUAGUAACGUAGCUAACGCGUGAAGUUGACCGCCUGGGGAGUACGGUCGCAAGAUUAAAACUCAAAUGAAUUGACGGGGUCAUA